rnacentral:rRNA from 1 species
GACGAACGCUGGCGGCGUGCUUAACACAUGCAAGUCGAACGGAGAGGCCUGCUUUCCCUUGUGGAUUGCGGGUACUCGAGUGGCGAACGGGUGAGUAACACGUGAGUGAUCUGCCCCCAACUUGGGUAUAAGCCUGGGAAACUGGGUCUAAUUCCCGAUAGGACUGCAGGGUGGUGCCUGUGGUGGAAAACGAUUUUCUAGUGGUUGGUGAUGAGCUCGCGGCCUAUCAGCUUGUUGGUGGGGUAAUGGCCUACCAAGGCGGCGACGGGUAGCCGGCCUGGGAGGGUCGACGGCCACAUUGGGACUGGGAUAAGGCCCAGACUCCUACGGGAGGCAGCAGUGGGGAAGAUGGCACAAUGGGCGGAAGCCUGAUGCAGCGACGCAGCGUGGGGGAUGACGGCCUUCGGGUUGUAAACUCCUUUCGACCGCGAGGAAGCCACCUGGUUGGAAGGGUGGUGACGGUAGUGGUAGAAGAAGCACCGGCUAACUACGUG